AUCCCAUGAUGAGGAUAGGCGGCGACUUACUCCUGCAGACGCUCCCAAGCUUCUGGUAUGGAUUCCUCCUUCAUCUCCUGGAAAUUAGAAAUCCUCCCGCGAAGGGC
rnacentral:snoRNA from 1 species